rnacentral:rRNA from 1 species
GACGAACGCUGGCGGCGUGCUUAACACAUGCAAGUCGAACGGAAAGGCCCUGCUUGCAGGGUACUCGAGUGGCGAACGGGUGAGUAACACGUGGGUGAUCUGCCCUGCACUUCGGGAUAAGCCUGGGAAACUGGGUCUAAUACCGGAUAGGAGCCAUUUUUAGUGUGAUGGUUGGAAAGUUUUUUCGGUGUAGGAUGAGCUCGCGGCCUAUCCGCUUGUUGGUGGGGUAAUGGCCUACCAAGGCGGCGACGGGUAGCCGGCCUGAGAGGGGGGACGGCCACAUUGGGACUGAGAUACGGCCCAGACACCUACGGGAGGCAGCAGUGGGGAAUAUUGCACAAUGGGCGCAAGCCUGAUGCAGCGACGCCGCGUGGGGGAUGACGGCCUUCGGGUUGUAAACUCCUUUCGCUAGGGACGAAGCUUUGUGUGACGGUACCUAGAUAAGAAGCACCGGCUAACUACGUG